rnacentral:tRNA from 1 species
AUUUAUGUAGUAUAUGCAAGUAUAUGUGACUUCCAAUCAUAAGGACUAAUUUUAGUAUAAAUA